rnacentral:pre_miRNA from 1 species
UCUGGUUUUCAAUGUGUAAAUUUGGUUAAUUUACGCCUGGAUAACCCGUA